AUGACAUACUAUCUGCUAUUAGUUAGGAGUAAAAGAGCAAACUGGUUAGUGUCAGUGUCAUUAGUGCAGGAGGUUUUUGUACAGCUGUUGAUUGGGUUUGUAUCACUGUGGUGGACUUUCGGUGGAGGCACCCGACUCUCAGUUGGAACUGCGGCUCGUCCCGCUCUCACAGUGCUGCCUCCCUCCAGAGACGAGCUGCAGCAGGGUAAGGCUACAGUGCUGUGUGUGGCCAGUAAGGGAUUCCCCUCUGACUGGAAGCUGAGCUGGAAGGUGGACGGCAGCAGCAGGAGCUCUGGUGUCAAUCUGAGUCCCAGUCAGCUGCAGAAGGAUGGACUGUACAGCUGGAGCAGCAGCCUGAGCCUCACUGAGAGUGAGUGGAGCAGAGCAACAACCGUCAGCUGUGACGCCACGCACCCGUCCCACAAUGCAGUCACCAAGAGCCUCGACACACAGCAGUGUGAUGAAUGAAAUACACACACAUGCUGUUAGUAUAUUGCUCAUAUAUUCUUAUCUGUUGUAAUUCUACAACUGCAAUGCUAUUAAUGUUUUGUUGAUUAUUUGAUAUUUUACUGCUGCC